CGCUCUUUGACCCGGUGAUCCCACGCCUGGGGCUCCGUCUCCUAGAAAUUAAAACCACAGUGUGUAUGCAAGGACGUUUGUCGCUAGGAUGUUGACUGCAGAAUGGUUUGUAGCAGCCAAAGGGGGCCAAUGAGUGGCUGCUCGUUAAUGACUGAAUAAAUUGCAGGACGUCCACACCACGGAAUCGUCCGCAGCCAUUAAAAAGCGAUGAAUCAGAGCCGUUGCAGGUGCCUGGGAGGGAUUUCUGCACAACGAGGAGACGGGAGCCAGGAAGGAACAAAGUCGCAUGAGUCGUGCUGCGAUUCGGGGGAGAUCAGCAAGGCUGCUUCCGCCACCCACAAGCAGAUUUCUCUCCCUGGCUGGAUGUGGUCACUCAGGAGCCUCAGUGUCCUCCUCUGUAGAAUGGGGAGAAGAGAUACAGCCACCUCCUCAGCUUUCUGACAGAACUGAAUGUGUCAAGGCGCAGAUGUGGCUUCGCCCAGGACCUGGCACAUUUGCGACCUAUGGAGGAAAAGCUCCCAAGAUUCCAGGAUGAUUCUAUUCUUUAAAACGCCUCUUCAGUGCAGUUUGUUAAGAGGAUGCAUCCUGGUGUCCGCUGGCACAGCGGGGUGACUGCAGCUUACGAUAAUUUAUGAUGAAUUCUAUCAAGACCUACAGGAGCUGGGCACAGGGUCCUGGUGGCACACACCUGUGACCCCAGCGACUCAGGAGGCUGAGGCAGGAGGAUUGCAAGUUCCAGGCCAGCCUCAGCAACUCAGGGGGACCCUAAGCAAAUCGCAGAGACCCCCACCCCCCUCCUUCUCUCUUUUUGUUUUUGAAUUUUAUGGCUAAUAUUUCCAAGAAGGGACAUGGGCUCAGCAAAGAUUUUUCUGCACCCAUCCACUCAUCUAGUA